AUUGAACGCUAGCGGGAUGCCUUACACAUGCAAGUCGAACGGAGUGGCGAACGGGUGAGUAAUGUAUUGGAACGUGCCCAGUAGCGGGGGAUAACUACGCGAAAGCGUAGCUAAUACCGCAUACUAUUGGAGCGGCCGAUAUCGGAUUGGCUAGCUGGUGGGGUAACGGAUCACCAAGGCGACCAUCCGUAGCUUGUUUGAGAGGACGACCAGCCACCCUGGGACUGAGCCACGGCCCAGACUCCGCCGGGAGGCAGCAGUGGGGAAUUGUGUACAAUGGGGGAAACCCUGAUCCAGCCAUGCCGCGUGUGCGAUGAAGGCCUUCGGGUUGUAAAGCAAUUUUGGCAGGAAAGCGGUACCUGCAGAAUAAGCACCGGCUAACUACGUGCCAGCAGCCGCGGUAAUAC
rnacentral:rRNA from 1 species